AAGUCGUAACAAGGUUUCCGUAGGUGAACCUGCGGAAGGAUCAUUACCGAAUCGUCAAACACGGGUUGUUGCUGGCCUCCAAACGGGGGCACGUGCACACUCUGUUUACGCAUCCACUCACACCUGUGCACCCUCUGUAGUCCUAUGGUUCGGAAGACCCCGUCUUCCUUCUGUAGCUCUACGUCUUUACACACACACUGUAGCGAUGUCUCAUGGAAUGUUUUUAUGCGUUUAACGCGAUACAAUACAACUUUCAGCAACGGAUCUCUUGGCUCUC
rnacentral:misc_RNA from 1 species